rnacentral:lncRNA from 1 species
CAUGAGUAUAAUUGAAGGGGCUAUUUGUUUUCUCUACUUGUACUCGAAGUUAUCAGAGGGGUGUAUAUGGAAGACGAAGUGGGUCACAUGAAACAUCACAUUAUUGACGAUAAUAUUUAUUGGUCUUUUAAUCUUUCGAUGUCAUUUUUAUUUCAUCUUUGUAACGCCAUUACCGAUGAUUCGUGUGUUCCAAACUUUCCAGGUUUGAAUCCUUCAACACUUCUCACGCAUCUCCGGCUGGGUGACUGUACAGACUUACACUGAAG